rnacentral:rRNA from 1 species
GAUCCUGGCUCAGGACGAACGCUGGCGGCGUGCCUAACACAUGCAAGUCGAACGGAACUGUUUUGAAAGAUUUCUUCGGAAUGAAUUUGAUUUAGUUUAGUGGCGGACGGGUGAGUAACGCGUGAGUAACCUGCCUUCAAGAGGGGGGAUAACAUUCUGAAAAGAAUGCUAAUACCGCAUGACAUAUCGGAAUCACAUGGUUUUGAUAUCAAAGAUUUUAUCGCUUGAAGAUGGACUCGCGUCCGA